rnacentral:rRNA from 2 species
AAAUUGAAGAGUUUGAUCAUGGCUCAGAUUGAACGCUGGCGGCAGGCCUAACACAUGCAAGUCGAACGGUAACAGGAAACAGCUUGCUGUUUCGCUGACGAGUGGCGGACGGGUGAGUAAUGUCUGGGAAACUGCCUGAUGGAGGGGGAUAACUACUGGAAACGGUAGCUAAUACCGCAUAACGUCGCAAGACCAAAGAGGGGGACCCUCGGGCCUCUUGCCAUCGGAUGUGCCCAGAUGGGAUUAGCUUGUUGGUGGGGUA